GCUGAUGAGAUGGGAACCGAGAACCCAUCGAGCUGUUUUAAGAGACUGCAGGAGGAAUUACACAAUCAAACUACUAAGUAUAGUGAUGCACUGGUCAAAGCCCUCCUGAAUAAGAAGAAGAAAUGGCUGAGCGUGUUGUUGAAAUCUGGAGAAGAUUAGGAGACAACACUAACAGCAACAGCAACAACAACAUGGGUGAAUCAAAAGACAACAAUGGUAAUAGCAAUAGCAUGUCCCUCCCUAAAGACUCACUCUUUCUCUCACUAACAAGGAAAAAAAAAAAAGUUCUCUCUCGCUCUAAAAAUCUUCUCUUUUUUAUGUGAGCGUCACUUGAGAGAGCCGCAACAAGCAAAGUAGUAACAGGUGAGCUUGUCUCGUCCGGCAAAAACCUCC
rnacentral:misc_RNA from 1 species